rnacentral:rRNA from 1 species
GAUGAACGCUGGCGGCGCGCCUAACACAUGCAAGUCGAACGGCACCCCUCUCCGGAGGGAAGCGAGUGGCGAACGGCUGAGUAACACGUGGAGAACCUGCCCCCUCCCCCGGGAUAGCCGCCCGAAAGGACGGGUAAUACCGGAUACCCCGGGGUGCCGCAUGGCACCCCGGCUAAAGCCCCGACGGGAGGGGAUGGCUCCGCGGCCCAUCAGGUAGACGGCGGGGUGACGGCCCACCGUGCCGACAACGGGUAGCCGGGUUGAGAGACCGACCGGCCAGAUUGGGACUGAGACACGGCCCAGACUCCUACGGGAGGCAGCAGUGGGGAAUCUUGCGCAAUGGGGGGAACCCUGACGCAGCGACGCCGCGUGCGGGACGGAGGCCUUCGGGUCGUAAAACCGCUUUUCAGCAGGGAAGAGUCAAGACUGUACCUGCAGAAGAAGCCCCGGCUAACUACGUGCCAGCAGCCGCGGUAAUACGUAGGGGGCGAGCGUUAUCCGGAUUCAUUGGGCGUAAAGCGCGCGUAGGCGGCCCGGCAGGCCGGGGGUCGAAGCGGGGGGCUCAACCCCCCGAAGCCCCCGGAACCUCCGCGGCUUGGGUCCGGUAGGGGAGGGUGGAACACCCGGUGUAGCGGUGGAAUGCGCAGAUAUCGGGUGGAACACCGGUGGCGAAGGCGGCCCUCUGGGCCGAGACCGACGCUGAGGCGCGAAAGCUGGGGGAGCGAACAAGAUUAGAUACCCUGGUAGUCCCAGCCGUAAACGAUGGACGCUAGGUGUGGGGGGACGAUCCCCCCGUGCCGCAGCCAACGCAUUAAGCGUCCCGCCUGGGGAGUACGGCCGCAAGGCUAAAACUCAAAGGAAUUGACGGGGGCCCGCACAAGCAGCGGAGCAUGUGGCUUAAUUUGAAGCAACGCGAAGAACCUUACCAGGGCUUGACAUAUGGGUGAAGCGGGGGAGACCCCGUGGCCGAGAGGAGCCCAUACAGGUGGUGCAUGGCUGUCGUCAGCUCGUGUCGUGAGAUGUUGGGUUAAGUCCCGCAACGAGCGCAACCCCCGCCGCGUGUUGCCAUCGGGUGAUGCCGGGAACCCACGCGGGACCGCCGCCGUCAAGGCGGAGGAGGGCGGGGAGGACGUCAAGUCAUCAUGCCCCUUAUGCCCUGGGCUGCACACGUGCUACAAUGGCCGGUACAGAGGGAUGCCACCCCGCGAGGGGGAGCGGAUCCCGGAAAGCCGGCCCCAGUUCGGAUUGGGGGGUGCAACCCGCCCCCACGAAGUCGGAGUUGCUAGUAAUCGCGGAUCAGCAUGCCGCGGUGAAAAAAAUCCCGGGCCGUGCACA